GACGAACGCUGGCGGCGUGCUUAACACAUGCCAGUCGAACGGAAAGGCCCUGCUUUUGUGGGGUGCUCGAGUGGCGAACGGGUGAGUAACACGUGAGUAACCUGCCCUUGACUUUGGGAUAACUUCAGGAAACUGGGGCUAAUACCGGAUAGGAGCUCCUGCUGCAUGGUGGGGGUUGGAAAGUUUCGGCGGUUGGGGAUGGACUCGCGGCUUAUCAGCUUGUUGGUGGGGUAGUGGCUUACCAAGGCUUUGACGGGUAGCCGGCCUGAGAGGGUGACCGGCCACAUUGGGACUGAGAUACGGCCCAGACUCCUACGGGAGGUAGCAGUGGGGAAUAUUGCACAAUGGGCGGAAGCCUGAUGCAGCAACGCCGCGUGCGGGAUGACGGCCUUCGGGUUGUAAACCGCUUUCGCCUGUGACGAAGCGUGAGUGACGGUAAUGGGUAAAGAAGCACCGGCUAGCUACGUG
rnacentral:rRNA from 1 species